rnacentral:rRNA from 1 species
GGGCAUACGGGGUCUAC